GAGACUAGCGGAGGAUCAUUACUGAGUUGUCGACAUGAGUUGUUGCUGGCCCCUCAAACGGGGGCAUGUGCACACUCUGUUUACACAUCCACUCACACCUGUGCACCCUCUGUAKUUCUAUGGUCUGGGGGGGCAUGUCGUCUCCUCUCUCCUGUAGCUCUAUGUCUUUACACACACACCGCAGCAAAGUCUUAUGGAAUGUGCGCCGCGUUUAACGCAAUACAAUACAACUUUCASCAACGGAUCUCUUGGCUCUCGCAUCGAUGAARAACGCAGCGAAAUGCGAUAAGUAAUGUGAAUUGCARAAUUCAGUGAAUCAUCGAAUCUUUGAACGCACCUUGCGCCCCUUGGCUAUUCCGAGGGGCAUGCCUGUUUGAGUAUCAUGAACACCUCAACUCUCACGGUUUGCCGUGGUGAGCUUGGAUGUUGGGGGUUUUGCUGGCCUGUGGUCGGCUCCUCUCAAAUGAAUCAGCUUUCCAGUGUUUGGUGGCGCCAUGGGUGUGAUAACUAUCUACGCUCGUGACUGUCUGCCAGGUAACCUUCCGCAAUGRAGGUUUGCUGGAGCUCACAAAUGUCUCUCCUCAGUGAAGACAGCCUUUUGAACGUUCGAUCUCAAAUCAGGUAGGACUACCCGCUGAACUUAAGCAUAUCAAUAA
rnacentral:rRNA from 1 species